rnacentral:snRNA from 1 species
GUGUCGCUUCAGCAGCACGUAUACUAAAAUUGGAACGAUACAGAGAAGAUUAGCAUGGCCCCUGCGCAAGGAGGACAUGCAAAUUCGUGAAGCGUUCCAUAUUAAA